AUUGCAUUCCACUCCACUCAGUUGCUGGUCCUGACCAAGCAUGAUGUGUUCUUCUUUGCAGAAACAGAGCCAGUCACAUGGCAGCAGAACAAACAGCUGCUAGAAAUAGAGUUUCCAUGCAGCUGCCUGCAGUGUUAGGCAGCCAUCUAACAGGCACAGAGGCAAAGAAGCUGCAUUGAAGUAGGCAGCCUACAAGCAAGGCUGACAGUAGCAGUAGUGCGAGACCAGCUGCUCAUUUGUGGGGCAGUCCCUGUUUUCCUCCCAGGACUCCUGUACUUUCGGAAGCUACUUGACAGAUAGAAAUUCAGCCAAAACCAGCCCCCCAUGAAGGUGCAGUAAUGGGGAUGCUGCUUCUGUUACUCUUCUGUCUGAUGUGCCGAUUUCAAAGAUAUCGGCUGAAAUUUUUUUAGACUGGCAUAGGAGAUAAUAUUUCAGAGAAUUAUCCUACCCAUUCUAUUAAAUGUAUUGGAGAAUAUUCCUUCACAGAGCUAGAAUCCCCAUGGCACUAUGAAGCUAUCAGAAGAACUCACUCCAGAACUGAUAAUGUUGUUCGAUAAAAGCAUCGAUUGUUUUA